rnacentral:rRNA from 1 species
CACGUAGGGGACGAGCGUUGUCCGGAUUCAUUGGGCGUAAAGCGCGCGUAGGCGGCUCGGAAAGUCGGUCGUGAAAUGCCGGGGCUCAACCCCGGGACUGCGUCCGAUACUCCCGAGCUGGAGGCAGGUAGGGGAGAUCGGAAUUCCUGGUGUAGCGGUGAAAUGCGCAGAUGUCAGGAGGAACACCGGUGGCGAAGGCGGAUCUCUGGGCCUUGCCUGACGCUGAGGCGCGAAAGCUAGGGGAGCGAACAGG